rnacentral:rRNA from 1 species
UAAGGAAUAUUGCUCAAUGGGAGAAAUCCUGAAGCAGCAACGCCGCGUGGAGGAUGAAGGGUCUAUGACUUGUAAACUCCUGUAAAGAAGGAAAAAAUUCCCAUUAGAUGGGAGAUGAUGGUACUUCUGGAGUAAGCCCCGGCUAACUACGUGCCAGCAGCCGCGGUAAUAAGUAGGGGGCAAGCGUUGUCCGGAUUUACUGGGUGUAAAGGGUGCUCAGGCGGAUUUGUAAGUCAGAGGUGAAAUCUUACAGCUUAACUGUGAAACUGCCUUUGAUACUGCAAGCCUAGAGUAUGGAAGAGAGUGAUGGAAUAUCUGGUGUAGCAGUGAAAUGCGUAGAUAUCAGAUAGAACACCAAUGGCGAAGGCAGUCACUUGGUCCAUUACUGACGCUAAAGCACGAAAGCGUGGGUAGCAAACA